rnacentral:lncRNA from 1 species
GUGUCCUUGUCAUACGUGGCUAACGUCAGAUAAGAGAGCGGUCGUGAAGUGCCGGCAAAGGGGCCGGACUCUGGAGCGAUCCAGAGUUUCAGUUGAGAUGUUGCCCGACAGUCGGCAUUACCUGAUCCCCCGAUCUCAGGUACCGAUAGCCGUGAGGGUAGAUCAUCCGAGCUGAACAUGGAUAGGACACCAGGGGCUUAAUCCACCCCGCUCCCACCGGUGGGCAGGACCGGCAAAUGAUAAGGUGGUCGUGGUGACUUCCCGCCUUCUCUCGAACUGGGUUGAGAGAUGAUCAGCGAAGGCGUUGCCCCGUUAAUACAUGCUAGGCCCUAUGGGCCAGCGUUGGGAUAAUUAUUAUUAUUUUUUUUUCCUUGAAAUCGGUUACAGCUCUGACGUCCGCCAUUUGGACAAGCGGGAAGAAAAAUCUCAACAACACCAAGAACUCAAGCGACUGCUGGAAGCGGCCGGAUGAACGGUCCACUACUCCACCAAUGAAUGCCUUGCGCUCGGAGUGACUGGCUCAAGUCAAAGAAUCAAAGACCGUGCGAAGGAUGCUGCGGCACUGGCUGCCGAUUAUCAUGUGCUAUGGCUGCAUCAUAGCAAUAAGCAGGAGUGGAGCUGGUGGAUGCAGGCGGUGGUGCAGGCUGGGUUAGACAUGAGCGUGUGCGCACGCGUGUGGUUUUCCCCAUCUUACUUUGCACGGCCUAACCUGCUUCCUCGUGAGGUGCUGCUUACCAUGUAGACGCGUGGUGCCGUGUAGCCCGGGCCCUUGGUGCCGCUGACGAACUGGAUGUGCAGGCCGCCGUACCGGGGGCUGACGGCGGCGUAGUAGUUGACUGUAGCCCAUGGCCGCCCCUUGACGCGCUUGUCGAAGAUGACGAUGGACUUGGCCACGCCACAGAUAUAUACCGCCCGUGGGCCUUGGGCCGCAGCUGCAGCUUCUUGGCGUCUGUAAAUAUAAGCCUCCAGAUGUACUCCGUCGCCAGGUCGCUCUCCUCCUUGGGGAAGUAGGUGGGCGGUGGCGUGCCAGCUGGGGCCGGGGCGUCUGCAGCACCAGCGUGCGGGAAGGUAGCGGGCGCUGCAGAAGUCUGUGCGAGUUUGGCCGAGACCCUCAUUGGCGCCCCUGCCCCGCCUCACGUUUCGCCCCCAAACUUGAUUUCAACCUCUCCAAUUUUAGCUCCACUUUCCACAGCGCCAAGCCCUACUAUCAGGCGAGGCCUGGCGAGGAUUUGCCCGCACCCCCGUCCGCUUAGGAGUACGGCAGAGGCCUGGAAUCUAUGUCUACGCGCCUCCUCUUGUCGUGCACGUCUAUACCCUGUGAAGCUUAGGUGACCUGGUGACUAGCUGGGCUUGUUUGCACGGCCAAAGCCCCUUGCCUCACGUUGUGCCCCCACAUGCGAACACACCUUGGAGUGUCCUAGCGCCUGGGCUCUUGCUGUGGUGAAAGCUCUUACUUUACUUUCCUGUGGAUGCGGGCGGCGUGGGCAGGGUGCGCGUGUGGGGGCAACAUGCGACAAUGGACAAGGCGAAGUUCGGUCAGGCCUUAGGGAUGGCCCUGCGCCUUGUGGGCUAUGCGCACACGUGCAUAUAGAUUGUGGUAAGCGGGGCGGGCGGGGUCAGAGGUGCGCAGAGGGGGUCGGGAUGGGGGCUCCGGAUGGGGGGGGGGGUCGUUUCCAGCUUGCGAGCUUAAGGGCAGCGAGGGGCCGGAGCGAGACUUUACUGGACCCGCAUUUCCUUAAACACAGCGCUCACUAUACUUGCCCUUGAAUAACCAUUAGCGUACCUAGUGAGGAAGCGGUUCCAAUUUGUUUCGCUUCCUUGCUCGCUGCGUAGUCGCCACAAACGGGCUUCUGGUCGAGGGGGCCCCAACUCCCGAACUCGCACAGACUUCUGCAGCGGAGUGAAGGGGGGCGCAGCUUCGCGGCUAGGGCUGCGUUUGGCCUCCCCGCGGCCUCAGGACCUGUAGCAGGUAAAAGUCAACGCGACGGAGCAAAGCGGCCGGGCUCAGGAGCGUCCUACGAGGAGUUGGCAUCACGAUUCUAGUAUCUUCGUGCUCGCACCUGGAGCGUCGUCGUAACGCACUGCUUUGUGCACUGGUUAAAACUGUAUCGAAGGCGUAUUGGGCUCAAAGGAACACACGAAAACCGAGAUGUUGAGAAGAAGCUUCGACUUACAUAUGCACGGCGUGUGGCCCAAACCGCCACGCCCCUCGCCCGACACCUCUCCUGCCCCCUCGCACCCCGCGGAGCUCUGGGCCUUGGUAGCGGCGGUACCGAAUCGACCACGGCAGAGGUUGCUUAGCAAUAAGUUGGUGUGUAACGUCGGUUCAGACCCGAGUUCGAUCCUCCCCAAAUUCGGUACAGGGGAAACCUCCGUGCGUAUUCAAAUCACGCACAGGCGCUCCGCAGGGACCGCACGGCUCUUCAGUCGUGUCCUUGUCAUCCGUGGCUAACGUUAGAUAAGAGAGCGGUCGUGAAGUGCCGGCAAAGGGGCCGGACUCUGGAGCGAUCUAGAGUUUCAGUUGAGAUGUUGCCUGACAGUCGGCAUUACCUGAUCCCCCGAUCUCAGGUACCGAAAGCCGUGAGGGUAGAUCAUCCGAGCUGAACAUGGAUAGGACACCAGGGGCUUAAUCCACCCCGCUCCCACCGGUGGGCAGGACCGGCAAAUGAUAAGGUGGUCGUGGUGACUUCCCGCCUUCUCUCGAACUGGG